rnacentral:rRNA from 1 species
GACGAACGCUGGCGGCGUGCUUAACACAUGCAAGUCGAACGGAAAGGCCCUGCUUUUGUGGGGUGCUCGAGUGGCGAACGGGUGAGUAACACGUGAGUAACCUGCCCUUGACUUUGGGAUAACUUCAGGAAACUGGGGCUAAUACCGGAUAGGAGCUCCUGCUGCAUGGUGGGGGUUGGAAAGUUUCGGCGGUUGGGGAUGGACUCGCGGCUUAUCAGCUUGUUGGUGGGGUAGUGGCUUACCAAGGCUUUGACGGGUAGCCGGCCUGAGAGGGUGACCGGCCACAUGGGGACUGAGAUACGGCCCAAACUCCUACGGGAGGCAGCAGGGGGGAAUAUUGCACAAGGGGGGGAAGCCGGAUGCAGAAACGCCGCGGGGGGGAUGAGGGCCUUCGGGUUGAAAACCGCUUUCGCCUGGGAAGAAGGGGGGGUGGCGGUAAUGGGAAAAGAAGCACCGGCGAACUACGU